rnacentral:rRNA from 1 species
AAAACAAACCUACGGGAGGCAGCAGUGGGGAAUUUUGGACAAUGGGCGCAAGCCUGAUCCAGCAAUGCCGCGUGAGUGAAGAAGGCCUUCGGGUUGUAAAGCUCUUUUGUCAGGGAAGAAAAGGGUCCGGCUAAUAUCCGGGCCUCAUGACGGUACCUGAAGAAUAAGCACCGGCUAACUACGUGCCAGCAGCCGCGGUAAUACGUAGGGUGCAAGCGUUAAUCGGAAUUACUGGGCGUAAAGCGUGCGCAGGCGGUUUUGUAAGACUGUCGUGAAAUCCCGGGCUCAACCUGGGAAUGGCGAUGGUGACUGCAAGGCUAGAGUUUGGCAGAGGGGGGUA